AUGGAAAUCUCUCUAAUUUUUAGAUAGUAUAGGGGC
rnacentral:tRNA from 1 species